AAAAAUCAAAGUGUUCCAAAUCAAAAACCAAGUGUUGGAAAAGCUUGUUUAUGGUAUAAAAAGUGAAAACCAAGACUUAGUUCUUAAAAACCAAGUUUCCAAGGUCAUAAACGUUGCGUCACUUUGUCAAAAACGUUUUCCAUGUGUGUAGACGAAAUAUGUGCUAAAAUGAAAAUGUCAAAAAACCAUGACGAUGUCUAGUCGACGUCUAGCCAACGUCAAGUCGACGGUAGCCGACGGUCAGAUUUUU
rnacentral:lncRNA from 1 species